rnacentral:rRNA from 1 species
UUCGUAGGCGGGCUAUUUAGUCAGAGGUGAAAGCCAUCGGCUCAACCGAUGAAUUGCCUCUGAUACUGGUAGUCUUGAGUCCGUUAGGGGGUGGUGGAAUUCCUGGUGUAGCGGUGAAAUGCGUAAAUAUCAGGAGGAACACCAGUGGCGAAGGCGACCACCUGGGACGGUACUGACGCUGAGGAACGAAAGCAUGGGUAUCAAACAGGAUUAGAUACCCUGGUAGUCC